GCAUUCCACGUAAAAAAGGAAAACGACGUAAAUUUUAAAAUUACAUUAAUUAUCCCUAAUUCAGUCAGAACCUAUAGCUAAAUGUCUAUAUUUUAUGAAUCUGUAGAAAAAUAUUUAAAGAAAUAAUUAAAAAACUGACAUUUUUGUCUAUGGAAACUUUGACUUCAUACAGAAUUACUCAGCGGACAAGUUUAGGUUACGUUGACAACACUGUUCUCGGCCAUUUUGUCAGUUGUAGAAAGUUGACGCGUGUAUUUUACAGAAAGCGUGGAAAAGACUAAUAACUACCUAAAAAUAAGGUUAAAAGAUGAAUGCCGCAGAGAGAAAGAGGAAAUCUCGAGAGAAGAUGAAGGAGGACAAGGAUAAAUGGAACUUAGUCCAAGAAAAACAAAAAGAGUGGGAUAGAAAACGGAGAGAAAAAAAUAGACGUGAAUGUGACGAAAAUGAUAAAAAGGGAGAAUCUUU